rnacentral:misc_RNA from 1 species
AUUACCGAGUGAGGGCCCUCUGGGUCCAACCUCCCACCCGUGUUUUCCGAACCCUGUUGCUUCGGCGGGCCCGCCUCACGGCCGCCGGGGGGCUUCUGCCCCCGGGCCCGCGCCCGCCGAAGACACCUGUGAACGCUGUCUGAAGUUGCAGUCUGAGAAACUAGCUAAAUUAGUUAAAACUUUCAACAACGGAUCUCUUGGUUCCGGCAU